CUCCUUUAGAAUUUAAUUAAAGGUAGGACCUGCCCCCUGGGUACUAAAGGGCCGCAGUACUCUAACUGUGCAAAGGUAGCAUAAUAAUUUGCUUUAUAAUUGAAAGCUGGGAUGAAAGGUUUGAUGAGGGGCUAUCUUUAUUAAUAAAAAUAUUUGAAUUUAAUUUUAAAGUAAAAAAGCUUUAGAAAUUUUGUGGGACGAUAAGACCCUAUUAAGCUUUAUUAGGAAGUUCAUUUUCUCAUAGAUGAAGGUGGAGGGUACUAAUUGUACUGGGGCGGUAUAGGAAAACAGUUAAUUAAUAAAUUAAAUUUGGAGCCACUAAAUAGUGAGAAUUAGAUAAGUUACUAUAGGGAUAACAGCAUAAUUCUUUUUGAGAGUUCUUAUUAACGAAGGAGUUUGUGACCUCGAUGUUGAAUUAAUUAAUCUAAUGGGUGAAGAAGCUCAUAAAGAGAGUCUGUUCGACUUUUAAAUAUUUACA
rnacentral:rRNA from 1 species